CCCAGUUGGUGUUGAGUCUUCCCUUAGUCGAUGAAACUGCAUGGUAUAAAUUGGAUUUGAUGUUAACAGUGUGUUCUCUUAGUUCGCUUUUAUGAAAACAUGAUUAGCCUUCGCUUAGUUGGUUAACUAUGUUGGAUUACAAUUUUUGAGUCGCUUCUUUAUUUUGUUGAUCUGUGAUAGGAAACAUUGUAAUUAAGUUAAUGACCAACCGUUUUCAGUAUGUCUUUGAAACCGUUUUUAGAUUUGUGUUUGCAUUUCUGUUUGCGUCAGUGUUUUGAUUUUAUUCAUACGUAUUCACCACAACAUUUUCACAAAACCCCCUCCCACUUCGUAUUUGACUUAAUUCUUGAACUGCAAAAGUGGUCCUUGAGAGACGACCUAUGAGUCAUUUCCUAGCUAUACUACAUUUCUAAUUGCACAUUAAAUUUGUGUGGGUUGUGAUAGCCCAUCAACGCUCAACGGUGCCGCUCAAUCGCGAGACAAUGGCUUCUUCCCCGAAGUUGGCGCUCAGCGUUGGACUUGGCACUGAGCGAUGGACUUCACUCUUCUUUUGCUUCUUUUCUCUUCCUUUCUUGAGUCUAAGUCCUCCCUUCUUCACUACCAUCCUUCAAUUCUCCUCAAAUCCUGCCAAAAUAAUGUAAAACAGGCAUAAUAUGUCUAAAACCAAAUUUUGACUCUCUAGAAACCC
rnacentral:lncRNA from 1 species